rnacentral:rRNA from 1 species
AUCGAGUCUUUGACGCAUAUUGCGCCUAUUGGUAUUCCAUUGGGCAUGUCUGUUUGAGCGUCAUUACAAACCCUCGACCCAGGUCGGUUUUGAGCUGGCUUAACGGGUGCAAACCCAAGCCGGUUUUAAAGUUGUAGGCUUUGCUGACAGCUGCUCCAAACCAACAACAUAGUAAAACAUACUUGUUCUAGGUGGGGUGGUUCCNGCCUUGAAAAUGACACUUGUGGUUUGACCUCAGAUCAGAUAAGGAUACCCGCUGAACUUAAGCAUAUCAAUAAGCGGAGGAAAAGAAACCAACAGGGAUUGCCUCAGUAACGGCGAGUGAAGCGGCAAUAGCUCAAAUUUGAAAUCUGGAGCCUUCGGCUUCCGAGUUGUAAUUUGAAGAGGAUGUUUCGGUUGCGGCCACGGCCCAAGUUCCUUGGAACAGGACGUCAUGGAGGGUGAGAAUCCCGUACCUGGCUGUUGGCUUGCUUCCAUGUGAAACUCCUUCGAAGAGUCGAGUUGUUUGGGAAUGCAGCUCAAAAUGGGUGGUAAAUUUCAUCUAAAGCUAAAUAUUGGCGGGAGACCGAUAGCGCACAAGUAGAGUGAUCGAAAGAUGAAAAGCACUUUGAAAAGAGAGUUAAACAGUACGUGAAAUUGUUGAAAGGGAAGCGCUUGCAAUCAGACUCGCUUUCGGUUGAUCAACGUUCCUUCUGGUUCGUGCACUCUGCCGUUGGCGGGCCAGCAUCAGCUGGGGCGGUGGGACAAAGACUUCAGGAA